GGAUAAUAAGUCAGAAGACCCAAGAAGAGAAAUGGGCUCCUGAGGGCAAGAGUGGACCAGGCCUUCUACAGGGCUUCACCAACCGUCAUCAACACACCCACAGGAACCAGCAGAUACACUCAGGCUGGGCUCUGAUAAGUCUGUGGUAGAUGGCCUGUGGACUUGUGAAAGAUUCCUCCCCAAGACCGAAGUGCCUGCUGCUGAUUCAGGAAGGCAGCUUGCCCGAAGACUAGCCACAAACACCUAUGCCAGGCUUCCCUCAACCCACUAGUCCUCAUAAACCAGGAAAGAAGCCCUGUGGUGAGCAGGGUACCAGAAGGGGCAGAGGAAGGAAAUGGCCUCAAAACUGCCUUUGCUGAACUAGCAGCAGGAAGACAAGCCCAGAGCCACAGCAUCUGAACCUGGUCCCCUAGGAGCUCUAUUCUGGGUGUCCUGCCCACUAUGGCCAAUGCUUCUCAGUUGCUGGCUCCAAUGGCUACCAACCAUCUCUUCUCCAGCCAGCAAAAUCUGCAGGGCCUUCCAGGCUCUCCCCAGGGCAGGCUAAAGGAAGAGAGCCCAGGCAUGCGUCCCAGGUGCGAAGCAGGCCCAACCACAGUGUUCCUGUCUCCACCUCUCUCCGCACCUGGGUGCUGAGGCUGGGGGUGUCCAGCAGUUUGGGCAAGGGAUCUCUUUCAGUGAAACAAUACGGUGCACAAAUACGUGAUGAAGGACAAUCUGCCUGUCCAUCCACUACACAACGAUGAGGUCCUGGCCGCAGGCCGCACACCCCCUAGUGUGCUCAGCCCAGCCGUGGCCACUGAGGCCACUGAUCUUCAAGCCCUCGCUGAUGAGCUCACACUCAGUGCUAGCCCCCCAGGGUAGUAGAUAUCCAGUGCGCUUCCUCUUCAGCACACAGUAUUCACCAGCUGGGGAGGAAUGUGGCUCUGGUCAAACAAGGCUUGACCCCCCAGCUCUGUGUGAUGUAAGACUUCAUUUUUCUCAUCUGGAAAAUGUAGUUCUAUCUCUGAAAACCGUAAAUAGGGCUGGAGAGAUGACUUACUGUUUAAGAGACUUAUCGGCAACAAGACUGCUCUUCCAGAGGACCCAGGUUUGAUUCCCUGCAUCUACAUGGCCGCUAACAAUCAUCUCUAAUUCCAAUUCCAGAGGAUCUGACGCCCUCUUCUGGCCUCCUCUGGUACUACACAACUGUGAGGCAUAGACAUACAUAAAGGCAAGACACCCACACACAUAUUAAAAAAGAAAAAAAUCGCCGGGCA